rnacentral:rRNA from 1 species
GACGAACGCUGGCGGCGUGCUUAAAAACAUGCAAGUCGAACGGACUUCUCAUGAAGCUUGCGAUUGAGAAGUUAGUGGCGGACGGGUGAGUAACGCGUGGGCAACCUGCCCCUGAGCCCGGGAUAACAGUUCGAAAGGACUGCUAAGACCGGAUAUACUUGCGGGGAAGCAUUUCUCUGUAAGGAAAGGGAACGCUCAGGGAUGGGCCCGCGUCCCAUUAGCUAGUUGGUGAGGUAACGGCCCACCAAGGCGACGAUGGGUAUCCGGCCUGAGAGGGUGUACGGACACAUUGGGACUGAGAUACGGCCCAAACUCCUACGGGAGGCAGCAGCUAAGAAUAUUCCGCAAUGGACGAAAGUCUGACGGAGCGACGCCGCGUGGAUGAAGAAGGCCGAAAGGUUGUAAAAUCCUUUUGCUGAUGAAGAAUAAGUGUGGUAGGGAAUGACCAUAUGAUGACAUUAGUCGGUGAAUAAGCCCCGGCUAACUACGUGCCAGCAGCCGCGGUAAAAGUCACG